UUUAGGGGUUUCACCCCAUUUAAGGGGUACCCCCCAGUUUAGGGGUCAGCCCCAGUUUGGGGAUUGCCCCCUGUGAAUUUUGGGGUCCCCCAAAAGUUCAAUUCAGGGGUUUCCCCUCAAACCUGAGGGUGUUUCCAACUUCAGGGCUGACCCCAAUUUUGGGCUGACCCCAAAUUUGGCCACCACCAUCCUUUGGUGUCACCACAAUUUCAGGGUGACCCCAAUUCCAGGGUCACCCCAACAGUCUGGGGGGACCUGGGGGGUGACAACAGCCCUGUCCCCACCACAACUUGGGCGUUUGGGGGUGACAACCCCAACCCCAUUUCCAUCUGGGGGUGACAACCCCGUCACCGUUGGGUAUUGGGGUCACCCCCACAACUUGUGGGGUUUUUGGGGCGACAACCCCAUUGCCAUGGAAACUCGGGUGUCAUACCCACAGCCAGAUUUGGGUUUUUGGUUUUUGGGGGGCGACACCCCGGACCCCAUUGCAGUGCGGGGGUCUGAGGGGGUGACGCCGCCAUUGCUGUGGAAAUUUUGGGGUCACCCCCAUGGUGACAACAACCCCGACCCCAUAUCCAUGUGGGGGUUUUGGGGGUGACAACAACCCCAACCCCAUGAGAAUUUUGGGGUUGGGGGGUGACAACCACCACAUCCCCAAAAUCAAUUCUGGGUCACCCCCACGGUCUGUGGGGGUUUUUGGGGUGACAACAACCCUGACCCUGUAUCCAUGUGGGGUUUUUGGGGGGUGACAACAACCCCGUCCCCACAUGGAUCCGGGGCUCACCCCCACGGCCUGGGGGGGUUUUUUGGGGGAUGACAACAACCCCGACCCCGUAUCCAUGUGGGGAUUUUGGGGUGACAACAGCUCCAUCCCCACAUGGAUCCGAGGGGUUUUUUGGGGGUGCCACCCCCGUCCCCACAGGCGGAGCCCUCAGUUGUCGUCGUCGCUGUCGUCGGGGCUGAUGGCCGGGCUGGUGAGGCUGUAGGUGGGCGAGGUGGGGCUGUAACUGGGCGAGGUGGGGCUGUAGCUGGGGCUCUGUGGGGUGUAGCCCCCCGGCGACCGCGGCUCGUAGGCGGGGGACGUCGGGCUGUAGCUGGGGGACAUGGCCCCACCUGCGGAGAGGGGACACGGGGGUCAGGAGGGUGUUGCGGGGCUGUUGGUGGUGUUGGGGUGUUGUGGGUCGCUUGGAGGUGUUGUUCAGGUGUUGUGGAGCUCAGUGAGGGGGUGUUAUGGGGCUGGCUUGGGAUGUUUCAGGGUGUUGUUAGGGGUUACAGGGUAUUUGGAGUAUUUGAGGUUAUUUUAGGGUGUUUUGGGGUGUUGCUACAGGUUACAGGGUGUUUCAUGUGUGUUUUGGGUUAUUUUAGGGGUAUUUUAGGGUGCUACAGGGUGUUUGAGGUGUUUCAGUGUGUUUUGGGCUGUUGUUAGGGGUUACAGGGCAUUUUGGAUUAUUUUCGGGAUAUUUUAGGGUGUUAUGGGGUGUUAGGGGUGUUUCAGCGUGUUUUCAGGUGAUGUUA
rnacentral:lncRNA from 1 species